UGAUCCUGGCUCAGGAUGAACGCUGGCGGUAUGCCUAACACAUGCAAGUCGUACGAGAGUUUUUAACUCAAGUGGCGGACGGGUGAGUAACACGUGAGAAUCUGCCUUUAGGAGGGGGACAACAACUGGAAACGGUUGCUAAUACCCCAUAUGCUUUCGAGUGAAAUAGAUUUAUCUGCCUAAAGAGGAGCUCGCGGCUGAUUAGCUUGUUGGUAAGGUAAUGGCUUACCAAGGCGACGAUCAGUAUCUGGUUUGAGAGGACGAUCAGACACACUGGAACUGAGACACGGUCCAGACUCCUACGGGAGGCAGCAGUGGGGAAUAUUGGACAAUGGGCGCAAGCCUGAUCCAGCCAUGCCGCGUGUGUGAAGAAGGCCUUCGGGUUGUAAAGCACUUUCAGUUGUGAGGAAAGGUUGA
rnacentral:rRNA from 1 species